rnacentral:rRNA from 1 species
AGAGUUUGAUCCUGGCUCAGAUUGAACGCUGGCGGCAUGCCUUACACAUGCAAGUCGAACGGCAGCACGGGAGCAAUCCUGGUGGCGAGUGGCGAACGGGUGAGUAAUAUAUCGGAACGUGCCCAGUCGUGGGGGAUAACGUAGAGAAAUUUACGCUAAUACCGCAUACGAUCUAAGGAUGAAAGCGGGGGAUUCGCAAGGACCUCGCGCGAUUGGAGCGGCUGAUAUCAGAUUAGGUUGUUGGUGAGGUAAAAGCUCACCAAGCCGACGAUCUGUAGCUGGUUUGAGAGAACGACCAGCCACACUGGGACUGAGACACGGCCCAGACUCCUACGGGAGGCAGCAGUGGGGAAUUUUGGACAAUGGGCGAAAGCCUGAUCCAGCAAUGCCGCGUGCAGGAAGAAGGCCUUCGGGUUGUAAACUGCUUUUGUACGGAACGAAAAGGUCUGCCCUAAUACGGCGGGCCCAUGACGGUACCGUAAGAAUAAGCACCGGCUAACUACGUGCCAGCAGCCGCGGUAAUAC